rnacentral:siRNA from 1 species
ACCGUCACUCGAUCACUCUACCAC